UACGAACGCUGGCGGCGUGCUUAACACAUGCAAGUCGAGCGGUAAGGCCCUUUCGGGGGUACACGAGCGGCGAACGGGUGAGUAACACGUGGGUGACCUGCCCUGCACUCUGGGAUAAGCCUGGGAAACUGGGUCUAAUACCGGAUAUUCACAUGGUCCUGCAUGGGGUUGUGUGGAAAGUUUUUUCGGUGUGGGAUGGGCCCGCGGCCUAUCAGCUUGUUGGUGGGGUGAUGGCCUACCAAGGCGA
rnacentral:rRNA from 1 species